CAAGGGUACUGCGCAUGGGCAGGCUUUGCACCUGGCAUCAGUUGGCCGGUAAUAUGCUAAUGAGGGAGCAGUACCAUGCUAAUGAGUUGAUUCAUGCUCCGCCAAUCCCUGAAGGACAAUUAGCAUAGCCUCAGCCUGCUGUCUAUAUGAGGCGAGUGCUCUUGCUGCUUGGGUUCCCCUAUCAGCAAUGAAGGUGUCCUGCAAUAAAGGCUGUUGAGAAGGAUCCAACAGUGUUGCGUCUUCCUUGCUGGACGAGGCUCAGGGAUCACUGUGGAAGAAGGAUCAAAGAGUUGUAAGAGUCAGAGAAGACAGACGACUACAGCGGUUUUUUUAAGGCACAACAGGACGCUUGAAGUUACAGCCCAGUUAAGGAGGUCUAACGUGUGUCUUUGGACUUCCUGCAGCCUUGAAAAUCCCAAGUUCUUGGGAAAGAAAAAAAAAGGACCUAAUUUUAUAGUUGCCAAGUGUCUCAAAGGCUUACAACAUUUAGUGAAGGGGAAGUCUGGCCAGCACCUCUCUACAACGAGGCCCAUUUUAAAGGGUGAAAUCACCAGCAAGCAGAAAGGCAUGAAAAUACCGUGACUCCCUGUAAAUAGACCAGAAGAGCACAUGAUAUGAAACGAGAGUUGGGAAGGGCAGCUCAUGGUGUUUGAGGGGAGCUCACUGCCUAUGACGUGCCUCCAGUUGCCAUGAUUCGGAUCCCUCACCUGUCAGGGAGGAGCCGGGAAAGCGCUGUGUUCUGAGUUGGGCCUUGCAGAACCAUGGCUCCUGUGAAACAGAAAAACGUGUUGUGUCGGUUACCUUUCUACUGCUGUAAUAAAACUCCAUGAGCAAGG